GGAGUUUGGGCCGUGUCUCAGUCCCAAUGUGGCCGUUCACCCUCUCAGGCCGGCUACUGAUCGUCGCCUUGGUGGGCCGUUACCUCACCAACUAGCUAAUCAGACGCGGGUCCAUCCUAUACCACCGGAGUUUUUCCUACUGUGUCAUGCGGCACCGUAGGCUUAUGCGGUAUUAGCAGUCGUUUCCAACUGUUAUCCCCCAGUAUAGGGCAGGUUACCAACGCGUUACUCACCCGUCCGCCACUAAGUAUUUCAAAUGAUUCUUCGGAAGCAAGCUUCCUCGGUCUCGGGAGAAAUACUCCGUUCGACUUGCAUGUGUUAAGCACGCCGCCAGCGUUUAUC
rnacentral:rRNA from 1 species